rnacentral:rRNA from 1 species
UACGGGGGGGGCAAGCGUUGUUCGGAAUUACUGGGCGUAAAGGGCUCGUAGGUGGCCAACUAAGUCAGACGUGAAAUCCCUCGGCUUAACCGGGGAACUGCGUCUGAUACUGGAUGGCUUGAGUUCGGGAGAGGGAUGGCGGAAUUCCAGGUGUAGCGGUGAAAUGCGUAGAUAUCUGGAGGAACACCGGUGGCGAAGGCAGGUCUCUGGGCAUUAACUGACGCUGAGGAGCGAAAGCAUGGGGAGCGAAACAGGG